rnacentral:rRNA from 1 species
UUCCCGGGCCUUGUACACACCGCCCGUCACGCCACGAAAGUUGGCAAUACCCGAAGCCGGUGGCCUAACCCGCAAGGGAGGGAGCCGUCUAAGGUAGGGUUGAUGAUUGGGGUG